UCCUUGCACGCUCCGGGUGAAGACGCCUAUAUUGCGAGUGUCGGGCUUCCGACUAUGGCGAUAAACGCUACAUGAAAUAAGCGUUACGGACCCGGGGCAGUACCCGGCGCCUCCACCAAUUUCGCGGAUUCCGGCUCGCCUUGCGAGCCGAUCCGCAUGCGGGGGCGAACCAGGAUCGACGUGCGUGGUAAAGGUGUGGUUUUCGCUCGGCAUGGUACCGCCGUUAUCGGGCCGAUCUAUAUAUGCCAACGACAAUGAGGCAUAUGCUCUCGCCGCCUAAAGCGCCGUGAGCGGGGUUGGGGAGGCACCUGGCACCAGAAGCCUCCCACU
rnacentral:tmRNA from 1 species